CCUUUUCAUCGAGAGUCAUCCCCAAAACUCGAGUCUCUUGAUCUUGUUUUGUGGGUUUGUAUGGUUCCUUAUAUCUCUGUCGUCGUGUCUGAAUCUCAAACCAUAGAGUGUUUGUGUUUAUUUCUAUCUUCCGUUUCUCUAUCAUGUUUCUGAUUGUUUUCCUUGAGAUUUGAUUCAAAGAGAUACCAUGAUGGCUUGUUUGCUUGUGUUUUGGAUCUCAAAGACAAGUCUGAUAAGAAAUCCAAAACGUGACAAGUCAUCAUCAUCGGCAUAUAUCUUCUGCCAAACCAGAAAGAGUUUUAGAAACCUUAUACAUUUGUCAAGAUUUUCUCAUAUCGCGAACUUGCACCACUACGAAUAAUAUCAAGGAUGUAUCAAGGAAGGCUAGACAAUGGAGAGGGAGAGUGUAAGUUACAUCUGCUCUAGACUACAUCAUUGAAUGAGAUGAUGAUGAUGUCGUUGAAUGUUAUUGAAGAAGAAACUGACCCUCUUGAGAGGAGGAGAGUCGUGGAUAUGGCUUUCUAUUGAGCUGAAAAGUGCAUGCAUGGUUCUCAACCAACAAUGCGUCGGGUCCUCUUUAAAAGUGUUAAAGAUGAAUAAAAUUUAUUUGAUUACAUGCGUCUAAAGCAGUUGUAUAUGAUGUUUUUGUUUG